CCUACGGGAGGCAGCAGUGGGGAAUAUUGCACAAUGGGGGAAACCCUGAUGCAGCGACGCCGCGUGAGUGAAGAAGUAAUUCGUUAUGUAAAGCUCUAUCAGCAGGGAAGAAAAUGACGGUACCUGAGUAAGAAGCCCCGGCUAACUACGUGCCAGCAGCCGCGGUAUAACGUAGGGGGCAAGCGUUAUCCGGAUUUACUGGGGGGAAAGGGAGCGUAGACGGCAGUGCAAGUCUGGAGUGAAAGGCGGGGGCUCAACCCCCGGACUGCUCCGGAAACUGUACGGCUGGAGUGCAGGAGAGGUAAGUGGAAUUCCUAGUGUAGCGGUGAAAUGCGUAGAUAUUAGGAGGAACACCAGUGGCGAAGGCGGCUUACUGGACUGUAACUGACGUUGAGGCUCGAAAGCGUGGGGAGCAAACAGGAUUAGAUACCCUUGUAGUC
rnacentral:rRNA from 1 species